AAAUUCUGUUUUUGUCUUAUUUAAUUUUUUUUAUUUUUCAGCCUUUUGAAAUGACUCAUAUCUGUUGGGGAACUCAUUACGGCCAGGGAAACAUAAAAUAGGAAAUACUGAGAUGUCAUUUCUAACAGCGUGUGGGUUUUGUGAAUGUCGGAAGGAUUUAAGGAAGCACGGCUCUUCUGUUUAGUGUAAUAAGGCACUCUUUAAAAGAGAGAGAGAAAGAGAGGAGACUGGUCCCUAAUUGUUGGUGCGCCCUGGCUUUUUCUCCCGCAGCCCCGGGAGCCCCUCGAGGAUGCUGCGAGGUGGGCUUGGUGGGUGGUGCUGAGACCCGCGCUGUUGCCGCCGCCGGUCCUGCCGCUGCUGUUGUUGAUGCUGCUGCUGCUGCUUGCUGCUGCUGCAGAGUCACGUGGGAGUCCCCUUUAAGUUUCCAUAGAGAGGCCUCUCCGGUGUCACAUGAUGGACAUGAUAUAAUGAAACAACAUUGUGGAGCGGAGAGCAUUCGGGGAGCCCAGGGCUACAAAAACAAGUGAGUGAGAAGAGGUGGGAGGAAGAGAAACUACGCCACCUCCCCUGCAGACCAGCCCACACGCAGCAGCCGCCUCCGAGACGAGGAGGAGAGGGGUCCGUCGUGGGGGACGAGGGAUGGGGGAACGGGCAAAGGGUGGAGGGCAGGGGUCCUCAGCCCCGCAUCCUGAAAGUCCCCCUCCCCCAGGAGCGGGCAGACACCAACUUUCCUCUACUAGCCUCCUCCAGGACUGCACCUGUCUCCAAAGUCGCGAUAGUCAAAAAGGGGAAAUUCUAGAAGAGGAGCCGCCGCGAUACAUGCGCAUCUGUUUUUUUCCCCCGUUUGCACUUCGCUCACAUGGAAGAAAACAGAAGGAUUUUUAGCAGCGUGUCAGUUACCCGAAGGUAAGUUAUUUAUAGGAGGCAAAGCUGGUCCAACAGGACUUUGGGAGAAGAAUUUUCUUUCCUUCGCUUUAAGGAGACUUGCCAUGUAAUUUAAAGAAAAAGAGAAGAUGAUGUCGGGAAAAGGCAUCUUUUAGGCUCGGUUUCUCGGGUGGAUUUUUUUUUUGGGGGGGGGAUGUACAUGGGUAACACUUUCCCCUCCUCUGGCUUGUGCUGCCCUCCUCCCCCCUCUGCCCCUUCCCAUUCUUCAGCGCCCCUCGGUUUUCCCCUCCUUUUCCCCAGAGGGGUCCCGCAGCCCCAGGAGCCGAUUUGGGGAAGCCGGGAGAGGGAAGGUGGGAUUGGUGGCAUCCGAGAGGGAUUUCGAGGUGAUUUCGCCAUGUUUGGGUGGCUAAGAAGACUUUGGUGCCCCCCAUCCCCCCAGUUAGGUGGCUUGAUGCCACAUGGCUCCUCCGGAGCUGCUGCUGGGUUCAGAAAGUGGUGGCUUUUUUUUUUUCUUCAAUGUCCGCAUUCCAGCUAAUGUUGCGCAGAUAAAAUUCAAACUUGAGGUAAACAGAAGAGGAGGAGGAGGAGGAGGAGGAGGAGGGGAAGAGGGGGGAGGGAAGGGAGGAGAAGGCUGUUUCCAUUUCAGCUACCCACCUCUCCACCCCUCGGAGAACAACAUCCCAAACCUAGGGAUAACUAUUUCAUUUCUUUCCCCUCCCACCCCCACCCUCAACCUUUGCUGUCAACAAAAAUAAGGGGAGGGAGGGGGCGCGCGCGUCCGGGGGUGGCGCCUUCGCUCCCUCUUGGAAAACCUUCGCACCACAUCCCGGAGAUGCCUCCCUCAUUUUUGCUUCCUUUUUCCUCCUUUCCCGCUGGAGAGCACGAGGGUGCCUCGCCUGCCGAAGCCCCUUCGCACUUUGCCCGGGCAGCCGGGCUCUCUUUCAGCCGUCCCGGCGCGCAGGGGCGGGCGGAGGGCUCCGGGGCUGGAGUUUUGCAGCCCGGGGGGGCCACGCCAGCCGGCGGCAGCGCUUCGGAUGCUGAGCAGGUGUGCGGCGGCCGAGCCGAUUUCCUUUUAAAAAUAACUUUUUUUCACUUUUUCCCCGUGCCUUUUCUAUGUGCCAGGACGGUGUGGGAAGUUUGCGAAACCUUAAGGGACCAGGGACGGACCUUGUUCUCCUCGGGGCUGCCAAGUAUCCGGGAGAAGAGAGCCUCCUCCUCCUCUUUCCCAGCCCGCGGGGAUCGGAGCGAAGACUAGAGAUCAGAAACAUCUGGCUUGCUUAUUCAUGACCUGUCAGAAAAACGUAUUGUUGGAGCUGAGAUGGUUUGGUAGAUGCAAGCUUGGAAACAAGGAGUUUCUCUGUUCAUGAACUCAAGAAAUUGUGAGUAAUUAAGAAGAUGAAGAAUGUAUGUGGUGUACUUUGGAGAUCUAUCUACAGAUAAUAUACUUCUUAAACUGAAGAUACCAAUCUGCAUUUCUCAGGGAGAAAUUGGGGGAAAUGGAGUUACCUUCCAGGAAAAUCUGCCAAAGAGGUAAACCAAAUUUUAAUUAUCUACUUACUUGUGAAUUUCAAAAAUAAACUAGACUUACACAGACUUAUCCUUAAGCAUUUUGUUUCCCCAAUCAAUGUGAACUUUGACCAGGUCUUACAAUGAAGUUGAAUGAGAAUUUGACUGAGAAGAAAAAGGUUAGGGCUUGGUCCCAGCUCUGCCAUCAAGUAGCUAUAUGAUCUUGAACUGUCAUUUCAUUCAGUUUCUUCAUCUUUAAAAUGAAAGAGUCUGUAUCGAUGAUCAUUGAGGUCUCUUCUAAACUUCAAAAUUCUAUUGUGUUUAAUUUCUUGAUAUAAACUUUUAAUAGUAUUUUAUUUUUCCAAAUACAUGUAAAGAUAGUUUUCAACAUUUACUUUUGCAAAAUCUUGUAUUCCAAAUUUUUCUUCCUCCCUCAAUUACUUCACCCCUCUCCAAGGCAGCUGGCAAUCUGAUAUAAGUUAAAUACGUGCCAUUAUUCUUAACAUAUUUCCAUAUUCAUCAUUACAUAUAAACUUUCAGAGAGAUUAGAAUUCAUUGUUUUUCUUAAUUUUAAAACAAAGUCACAAUGGCUAAACAAUUAUUUCAGUAUCAAAAAUUUUAAAUUGUUAUUUUAAAAUGUACUUCUUUUAACAGCAUAAAGAAGUAAGUGGUAUCUUAUUAAUAAAGACAUAGGUGGAAAGGUAGCUGGUGGGGGGGGGGGUUGGGGAGAGGGCAAUUAGGGUUAAGUGACUUGCCCAGAGUCACACAGCUGGUAUGUGUCUGAAAUUGGUUUUGAAUUUGGGUACUAAUGAACCAAGUCUGGUGCUCUAUCUGCUACCCAAGGAUGUAGCCAUUCUUGACUACAUAGUUUGUUGCCCAGGUAUCUGGAAAUAGUAACAAUAUCAUUUCCAAAUUUAUCUUUAUGACAGGUCAGGACAGAUUCCAACCUGCCAAUCAGGCAGAAGACCCAGGUUAGGUCCUUAAGAAGCACCUGAUAGCACUGUCAAUAUAUUCUUAGUUGUGGUAAGGAAACAAUCUAUGGUGCUGUACGUGUUCAUAGGUUAUGGUGUGGAUGAUGAGAGAAUCCCUGGCCCUUGGGGAUGGGUAUGAUCAAAUUGAGCCUGGCAGUCAAGACAAACUCUUACCAUAACUAGGGACAUGCACCAUCACUGGAUUUUCACCCUGGUUUCUUCAAAAAUAAAGAACAGUUAGCAGUAACCAAAUUUGGAAGCAAUUUAUCUCCUCCUUUUUUUUUCCCCAUCACAUUUCCAUACUCUCUCUCCACAAUAAACAACAUUAAAUAUAUUUUAAUAAUAUGAACUAUAUUGCCAAAGGGGAGUCCAGUUUUGGAAAUAUUUAUGUUAAUUGCUAAUUAAUUGUUUGCAUUUUUUUCAGUAAGUCUGAUUUAACCAGUUUACUCUCUCUGGAUUCUUAAAGGGCUGCAUAGCCAGUUCUUCUUGCAUCCUUAAAUUACAGAAUGCUCAAGAUUACCCACAUUUCAGUAUUUUAUGAGGAUUAAAGUGUCCUCUCAUUUGGUAUAAAGUGCAAAAUGGUUCACAAGUUCUCUUGUGGAAAAGACAGUAUAGUAUAGUGUAUGAAGCCAAGAAGACUUGGCUUUAAAUCCUGCUCUGACCAUAUUGACUGUGACCCUGGCUGGUCCCCUAACCCCUUAUUCUAGGAAACACUUCAAUUCAGAGAAGGUGCCUGCAUGCACUAUUUGGUAGGUAGUUUCCUUACCUGGGAUUUUCAGAAGUCCAGUGCCUACCAGCAGAUUAAUAGAAAGUGUCAACUUCAAAGUAACCUAGAUAUGGAAAAAUGGGUAGCAGGUAAAAAGAUCUUUAUUUUUUCCAUGCUUUUGAUGUGCUUGAGAACCUUUUGUCCAUAUUCACUUAAAAUCCAUGUAAAAUGACAGUUCUCUGAUAUAUUUAGAAACUGAGUUUUAAAAAGAGUAUUGUGUUAUUUACCUCCACAAAGUUCUCCAUUGAUAUCUUAUUGUGGCAUGGAGAGGAGCCUAGAUUUUUGAAUGCUAUGGCAAGUGGAAUAUUAACUCUCAUUAUUUCUCCCAUUCUGAAAAUUAAGUACUAUCUCAGUGAACAGAUUGUUUCUGCCUUCUGAGAAGCAGCCUUGCUGCUCAUCACUAGCAAGUUACCCACUUGAUGAAUUCUUUCAUAGCUAACCAUGAAACAAAGAUAAAUACAAAAACAUCAUUUUAUGAGAUGAUUUGUUUACCUUGUAUUGCAGUGAUUGCCACUGCCAUACUGUUAAAUAUGUUAACCAUACUGUUAAGUAUUUGUAAAAAACCGCCAUUAAAAUAAUUGACUUUUGUGACAAUUUUUUGUUGCAGAACAAAAAGAUAAAAUAAUUCUAUAAACAAGUCCAUCCAAAUUAAAUUAAUAUACACCUUUGAUACUUGGUAACUUUAAUACAAAAUGGAAAAUGUAAUUUUAUUUCAGGAGUAAGGAGAGAGAGAAACUAAGACUUCUAGACUAUAUGAAAGAUUUAUACCUGCACAUGAGGAAUAUUUGAGAAAGAAAUCUCAAGACUUAGGUAAUGUAAAAACAUAACUAAAACUGAAAUUGAUUAUGCUUUAAAAGAUAGGAAAUGACUUAGUAAUGUGAGUCAUUUUUGAAUCAGCUGUCUGUGUAUAGUCAAAGCACAAUUUUUUAGAGUUGAGAGAAAUUAAUACAGAAAUAUAAAAAAUGACAGAAAGAUAUAACAGCUUCAACUUGUUCUAUCAAAAGAAAUUUUGAUGCCCAAGAUGGCACAUGGAUGAAGGAAAAGACAGACACAGAUUUCAACAAUUUCAAAAGAAUUUUAAAUAAUGUAAAUUGGUUGCCAAAUGAGAUAAAAAAUUAACCUCUGAAUGCAUUAGUCAGAAAAUACUUGAUUUAUUUGUCAGUUUGUUGGUAAAAAAAAAAAUCUUAAGCAAAAGAAUGUUGGAAGCUUAUGAGCAAUAUUGUUUCUUAACCAAGAAAGGUAAUAGAUGGAAAAACCAGUUUUAAAAGAGCAUGAUUAGAGGCCCAAUUAAAUAAAGGCCAGCUGAGGGCAUUUGAAGAUUAAAAAGAAAAGAGGACAGCAAUAGAAAAAGAUUUUUAAAAAUCCUCAGAUACGUUCCUACCAAAUUCUUUGCCAUUGAGAACAAAGGAGUCACCACAUUUGAACUCUUAACACACUCACUGGAUGUGCUUUAGAGGAAGUUUACAUGACUUUGAAGAAAUCCAAGAUAGAAUAAAACAUACAUAUAAUAGAUGAAGUGUAUAUAGAGGAUUCUGAUGCUGAAGGCAAUACAACUUUUGGAUCAUGGAGGGAUCAAUUUUCCAGAUAUCUUAUGGAGGGAAACUAAUAAAGAAAUGGGAAAAAUCUUGGAUCUUAUAUACACUGAAAAAGGUAGUCCAGGAAUCUAGAAUGAUGUCUAUGUCCACUUUCCCAUCCGUAUUAAUAUUUUAUGAGAAUAUUCUGCAUGUUAAUUGAGGGUAUCCUAUAUUGAUGGAAGGAAACAAACUCUCAUAUGCAAAAUUCCACAGAAUAUAUCUUUACCAUUACAUCAUUGACUGAAAGAUUAAGAAAAGACACAAUCCCAUCUGUGCUUACUAUUUUAUUGACUAUAUAAUUUUUGAAUUUGGUAAAGCAAAACACUUUCUUUAAGAUAGUCUUUCAACAAGAUGUCUCCUAUACAUAUGUCAAAACUCUAUGAAAGAUAAAACAAAGGAGGUAUAAUUUUGACCAUAAAAUCAAAUGAGACAUCAAACAGAGCCAUAUACUCAAAGGUUGUCCAUGUGGGAUUUUCAGCACAGGAUGUACCCAGAACAAGAAGGCAUUCUUUAUAUCCUGUUUAUUGAUGAUGUUGUGUUGAUUUCAUUAAGCCCCAGAAUGUUGAAGAGCCUCCUAAAUAAGAUCAUUCUAAAGAAAUUGGUCUAAUUAUCCAGACAGGAGAAACAAAAUAAAUGAAGAAUGCCUGUUCUGUUUACUUUAGUUAGACAGACAUUUAUUAUAAUUACAUUCUGCUAGAAGCUAGGGACAGAAAGGAAAAAAGGAAAUGAUGCCUGCUUUCAAGGACCAAAGCUAAUCCAUCAGUAGAUAGACAGACAGACAGAUAGAUAGAUGAAUGGAUGGAAAGAAAGAAAGAUGGAUAGAUGAUGUAUGGAUAAAUAGAUGAAUAAUACAUAUGUUGUCUUGGACAAAAGGACAGUGAGUUAAAUUUAGAAUUGAACAUGACGAAAAUGGGCUAUAUUCCCUUUGGCCUAAGAUUCUUCCUGAAAUAAGGGCCCAAUUUUUUAAUAUUUGCAUUCUUCCAUUGAAAUUGUAUUACUACAGGUUACAAAACACCAUGGCCUCCAAAGGAGAGAUGACUGAUGGGCAAAAGAAGUACAUUACAACUGAGAAAAUUAUGAAGGAAGAACAGCAUAAAAAAUGUUCAAGUAUAAAGUAUAAGGAAAUAUUCAUGUGAAAAAAAAUAUAGUGGUUAGUAAUAUAGUAAGAGCAAUGAAGUCAUUGAAUAGUGUAUUUGUUCUACUAAUAUAUUCACAGUAUUAAGAGAAUCAUAUGAAGGCAUUUAAUACAAUAGGUGAACACAGGCAAGAGUUUUGCAGGGUUGGUAGUCACUAGUAGUUUUCAGACAUAAUUGGAGGUGAUCCCACAUUACUCAAAUGAUAGUCAUUUGUUUUUAUUAUUGCCUUUGGUUUAAACUUAGGAAGUGUUCAUUAAAUUAUAGUUCUAUCUAAUCAUCAGAACAACUCAAACUCAAUUUAUAAGUGUCCACCUACCUUGUUAUUGAAGAACUUGGGCUAUUUUCUAAUUAAAAUAAUGUUACCCCUCUUCUACAAACCCUAUUCUGGCAAAAUUAUCAUUGAUUUCAAAAGCAAGUUUUGUUAUGUUAGAUUGGAAGGCCUUACCGCUAAGAUUACUCAAUUCAUAAAUGCUUUUUCUAGAUUAUAAUGAAUAGUAUGGGUCUUUUCAGGAUGACUGAAGAACCAACAGUGGUUUAUUGUCAUACAGCUAGUUAAAAAUAAUAUGUCAGCUUUCUGUUUCUAAAGUAUCAUUAGUUGGUCAUAGAAGCUCCUAAAUAUUCAACUGUAUCGAGACCAAACCAAAAAUGACUCAUCCGAGUAUCUUUCUUUGAAUAUAUUUCUGAUAAUGAUUCCUUACUCUACAUUACUGUACAAAACAGUUCCAUACAAGCUGAGAUAAAGUUUCUUUGAUGUGUUGCUGAGUCAUUUUAUAAUAAUUUCAUAUGCUUUAUAGUAUACUUCUGUUCACCUGAUGUACAAUAUAUGCAUUUUCAAAGUAGUAGUGAGUGUAUCAAACAUAUUUAGCAGUUGCUGAAGUACAUUUGCCAGUACUUCUUGGGCAAGUAUACAUUUACAUUAUUUUAUAUUCUCAGAUUUCAUUUGGAAAAUUUCAUUUUAUAUUUCUUAAAAUUUUUAGUUUGAUAGUCCCCACCCCUAAUGUUUCCCUAUGCAAAAACUCCAGAUUUUAUGUCCUCCUUACUAUAUACAUACUAUAUGUUUAUAUAUAUAUAUAUAUGAUAUGAUACUAAAAGUACAAUCUCAUAUAUGCCCAAUUAAGUUAUGUACUGUUGAUAUACUAUCAUACGCUGAGAAAAGGGAUUGGAAAGUCCCAUGCUGAUACAUUGUAGCUUAUUCAGCUUUAAUAUAAAUUUGAAGUCGUAUACAAACUGAUUAUAAAGUAAAGCUCUCUUUGAAACUAUGCAGGUUCUUUCCACCUGCUCCUAGUCCCUCUAUUUGCUUUUCUCUCCCCUAAUUAUUUCCUUUGAACUUAAAAAAAUGUAAUUUGUUUCUUUUCAUGUCCCUUCCCUUUCACUUUUCAGUUAGUUGAAAAUCUCCUUUACUCACCUUCCCUUGAACUUUGUAUGUUAGUAUUCUUUUUACUGUAGAUUUUUCUAAAACAUUUCUCUUUGUUUUGUUCGAUAAUAUUCUUUCAGUGUAUUCUGAAAUUUUUUUCUCUGAUACUUAUUUCAAGAUGUCUGUUAAAGAUUCUAAAAUUAGAUUUAAGUACCCUCUUCCAAGCAGAUUUCAUAUUGUUUUUACAGACCUUGCCCCAAUUUUUUUCCUGCUAUGCUUUGUAGAAUUAGCUAUUUGUGGAAGGGAGUAAUAUUAGGUAGAAAUAGUGUUAUAUUAUAAAACUUAUAUUUUGGAUCAGAUGUUCAAUACAGUCUUCUCCUUUAUUUCCCCAUUAUAAUUUUCCUCCCCAAAGACUUUCAUUUCUUCUUUUCAUUUUUUCAUUUUUUUUCAUUGUUCAGUUUUUCAUAGUUAUAGUGGCUCAAUAGUAGUAAUAUAGUAGUAAUGGACCAAUUGUACUAGUCUAUUUACUCUCUCACCAGAUUCCUCUUGUAAAACAGAGCUAUCUGUAAGAAGGAAAUGGCAAAUCACUCCAGUAUCUUUGCCAAGAAAACACCAUGGAUAUUAUCAGUGUGUUAGAGCCCAUGGGGUUUCAAAGACCACUAUCAUUCUGGUUGUGAGCUACUUCAGGAACUCAAACAUCUUUCUCUUGGGACAUGCUUCCCAUGGAGACUCAGGAAACAUUCAGAAAAGGUGAACUACCAAUUCAUGGACUCUUCCCAAAUUAGACCCAUCAAAAGAAGCUCAUUUCUUAUUCAGGUUAUCAUAUAAAGCAUAUAAUGCUUUUCCAAUGAGAGUGCUCUUCAUCAAGGUCUCCUCUCAUGGACUUGAGAAGAAUGUAUCAUCCAUUACCCUAUGGCUAUUACUUCCUCUUUCCUCAUGUACACAUUCUCUCACUCUGUAGAUUUAUCUUAUUAAAUAUAUUGUUUCACUGUUAGCAGGAUAUAGGUUAAGUCUUCAUUUAAGUCUUCCCAGGUUUUUCUGAAGCUAUCCCUAUCCCUCCAUUGGAGGAUUUGAUUCACAUUAUUUCUGCUGUGCAGUUUCACUUCUAUUUUUUUUAUGUUCCACUAAUACCUUUAUUCCUUUCUGUUCUCUUUACAUCUUGAAAAUUUCUCUUUUAUUAUUUCCAGCUGAAAUGAUUACUUAAACAGAGGUAGUUCAUCAGUAUCUCCCACACAUCUUCUUCAGCAAAAAGCUUAAAUUAACUCUAGGUCAAACAGUGAAAAAACUAUUAACUAUAUUUGUGUCAUAGGAAGAAUUUGGUAUAGGGUAUCUUCUUAAUCUAUUUUUAAUACAGUUUAUGUAGUAUUAGAAUGAAUUGUUCUUUAAAUGUUUAGUAAAAUUAAUUUGUAAAUCCUUAUGGUCCUGAUUUUUUUUUCCUUUGGGGAGUUCAUUUUAUUUUGGCUUUUUCAAUUUCUUUUUCUAAAAUGAGAUUAUUUAAAUAUUCCAUUUCCUGUUCUGUUAAUCCCAUUCCCUUGGGACAACUAGGCCUAAUACUAGUAAGGUGAUUUCUACAAAGUAAGAGUUUAACAGAUUUUUGAAUCAAUUAAUGAUAUACUUGAGAGGGAAAAAAAAAGUGGGAACUAUAUAGAAACUAUUCGUCACAUUGUUUUUUACCUUUUUGUAUUUCUUAUUCAACUUUCUGUACAGCUUUUGUCCAUUUAAUAGAACACAUUGUUUGAUGAGACGUUAUUGCAGAUUUAAAACCUUUAAUAGAUCUUAGUGAUCUAUUCCAUGGAACCAUGGAUCAUUUCCAUGGAAAAGGAUUCAAUCUCUAACUUGGCUAUCUUACAAAUAGUUUUGUAUCACAAGAAGAAUUUGGUAAGGAAGUAUACAUUUAUUGUUGUUCAGUCAUUCAGUAGUGUCUAACUCUUUAUGACCCCAUGAGCGCUAGCACACCAACACUAUCCAUGGGGUUUUCUUGGAAAAGAUAUUGGAGAGGAAGUAUAAGUAGAUCAGUAGAAAUCUAUUACUAUUAUGAAAAAUCAUAUAAAAUUUUUAAAAAUUGUGAGGUCAAGAGUGAUCUCCCUGUUAGCGAAGAGUCACUAGAUUGAUAUUUAUAAGACAUUAACUCAUUUCUCCACAGAAAGAAUUAGCUUUUAAGUGUCCAGAAGACUUAGAUAAGGAUUAAUGUUUACUAACAUAAAAAACAGAUGUAAUUCCAUUCUGUUACAGAAAAGAAAAAAAUUCUUUUACUCUAUUGCACAAUUGUAAAGUAUGCGUUCAUAUCUAUCACAAUCCUCUCCUUACCUCUACCUCCAAGAAUCUUAGCUACCCUGAAUAGAAUAAUUACAAAGAAUUCUUUAAAUCCUCAGUAGUCUAGCUUAAUUUAAAUCUGAGUAAGAAUACUUUAAAGAGCACAUUUUGACAUUGAUUUUUAGAUUGUUUUACUCAACUAGAAACUCUUAGUUUAAGAGCCUUACAUCUUACAUAUAAAUUUCAAAAAGGUUUUUAUUUUCAAAACAUAUGCAUGGAUAAUUUUUCAACAUUGACCCUUGCAAAACCUUGUGGUCCAAAUUUUCUCCUCUUUCCCUAUACCCCUCCCUUAGAUGGUAGGUAAUCCAAUAUAUGUUAAACAUGUUAAAAUAUAUAUUAAAUUUAUAUAUAUAUUCAAAAUUGAUUGUUAAACAACAAUCUUAUUUUUUAAAGAUAUUUUUCUAGAUAAGCAAAAUAAAAUGAAUCAAAACAAUUAUCUGGAUAAUUUAAACCAAAAUAAAGCAAGUUUUGCCCCAAUUAUCUAAAUCUUCAUUGGGGAAGGGAGAGGUCAAAAUUUACUCAGUUAUAUUUACUUUAUUAUAUUUUUGUUGAUUUAUGUAAAUAUUUCAUUCAUUCUACUUUAAAAGGAUUGACUUAGGUUUUGCUAAAAUACAUUUUAAUUGAGAAUUUUUUUUCUCCAAAUGUGGUUAAGAAAGUGUUCUAGAUUUUAUCUGGUCAUGAGAAUCCAAGUUGAAAGAGACCUGGAUUUAAUGUCAGAAGACCUGAAUUUGAAUUAUGGAAUUCUCACUUGUUAUCUAUAUAAUUAUGAAGAAAAACCUUAAUUUUUAAUAGUGCACAAUUUAAUAAAUAUUUAUUGUCUCUCUCUGUGCAAAGGACUAUGCUAAGAUGCUAGGGAUGGAGAAAGAUUAAAAAAAAAAGACAGUUCCUAUCCUCUUUGAGUCUGCAGUACUAAUGGGAGAUAUGUAUAUAUAUAUAUAUAUAUAUACACACACACACACACACAGAUUCUCAAGUAAGGCUUCAUGAAGGGAAAUCUUGUCAAAUGAAAAAGGCUUUGUGUAUGGGCCUAGUGAUAGACCCAGGGUGAUUAUUUGAGGAACAGCUUUACUAGGUUAGAUAAACUCAUACCCAGUUUGGCCACAGGAUUAUGGAAUUUUUAACUACAUAAAUCUCCAUAAUAUCAGUUAAUUUGUUAAAGGAUUGGUAGUCUGCCUUGGUGUCAGAAUACUCACAAUUGACAAAGUCACAGAUUCUUGAAAUAUUGAAAGAUGUAAUGACCAUUGCAUGGUAUAUUUUAGAACAGUAGUUCAGUAAUAAUCUUUGAAAACUGAUUUCAUUAGAUUAUUGUCUGUAGUUAAACAAAAAUAUUUUUGAUCACAUCAUAACUCUUUUAAAAUGUAUUUUAUUCAUAAACAAAUUCAUCUUAUUCACAUUUGUUAUGACUUUUAGAUAUGACUUAUUUCUAUAUUUUGAAGUUAUAUUGACUUUAUAUUUUAGAAGAGAAUAUAAACCUUUAUAUUUUACUGUGUCAGCACCAGCCCUGAAGUCAGGAGGACCUGAGUUCAAAUCUAAUCUCUGACAUUUAACACUUCCUAGCUGUGUGAUCCUGGACAAAUCACUUAAUCCCAAUUGCCUCAGCAAAAUAUAUAUAUAUUUUAUAUUGCAAAUAUAACUGCAAAUUUUAUAUUGUUAAAUAUGUAAAUUUCCUAGUACUUUGAUGUCAACUCUCUCCCCUUUGUUAAUUUGAGUUAGGUAAUUGCCCUUUGUCUCUUCUCAGUCUAUUUUUUGUUACCCUUUUCUUUUUUCUUUUGUUAUUUUGACAUAGUCUAUUGGUUGUAGUUAUAAAUCUUAAAAUUCUUUUGACCCAACCAUAACAUUCAGUAUUUUGAUAGAGUUGCUUUUAUGUUUGUUUAGAAGCUUCUGUUUUUUGUCUUUAGAAUUUCAUUUAUGAGGUACCUAGUGUUCUAUUUAGAGGUCAUUGAUUUGGCUCAUUUGGGGAAGAUCUUUUUAAUUUGUGAACUCUGGGUAUUUUGUUUUGUUUCUGUUUAGGAAUUUUAUUUAGGAAUUAGGUUAAGUGACUUACCUAGGGUCACACAGCUAGUAAGCAUUAAGGAUCUGAAGCUGGAUUUGAACUCAGAUUCUCCUGACUUUGAAUUGAGGCUGGUGCUCUGUCCACUGUACCAUCUAGCUUCUCCGAGAACUUUUCUUUAUAAAUUCUUUUAAAUAUUUUCAUUGUCCAAUUUUUCUAACCUUCAGUCAAUCUGUUAGAUUGGUAGCAUUAUGAUUCUGGAUUAUAAUUAAAAUAUAGAUUGUUCUAAUCCAAUUUUAAAAUUUGUUUUUUACAGAAAAAUCUGGUGAUCUAAUUGGCAUUUUGUGAUAGUAGUUAUUCAAAGAUAUAAGAAUGAUACAUAAGAAAUUGGUAAAGGAAAUAAUUGAGAAAAUUAGAAGCUUCUGGAACAAAAUAGAGAAAACCAAUCCACAAUUUUUUUUUUUUUUUGUGAAAGACGUAAUGACCAUUGCAUGGUAUAUUUUAGAACAGCAAAAUUUUUCUAUAUAGCAAAAACAAAAUCUAAGAGGAAAGUAAAUAGGGAAAUAACAUUUUUAAAACUAGAAAAUGUACAAAAAGAUCUGGUAGUCAAUCUGCUAAGACACAUUAAAAUUUUAGAUAAAUGCUAUUAGAAAAUAAUCCUUAAAAAUAAAAAUUACAAAAAAUGGAUAACUUUUUGGUCAUUGGAGCUGUAUAAAUACAAUAAAAAUGACAAUAGUAACUAAAUUUAUUUAUAGAUUUAGCCUAAUAACCAAACUGUCAAAGAUAAAAUAAUUUAAAAUUUCAUUUGGAGAAUUACUGGAUAACCAUGGAAAAAUUGAUAAGAAAAUCACCAUUUGGUACAAAAUAGCAAUCUCUUUGAGAGUUAAAAAUUGGAAACUUUUAAAUUAUAUGUAACCUUCAUCUCAGAGAUCCCAUUGCUUGGGACAUAUCCAAAUAGGACAGCAAUUUUCAUAGUAGCAAAGAACUGGAUAAAAUAAAUCCACAUAGUUGGGGGGGGGGAGGCAGGAGGAUUGAAAUUGAUCACCUUUCAAUUAUAAUGAUCAAAAAAGUUAUCAUGUAUGGGUGCUUUGCAAAUGUUUUAUUAAUUUUUCAGUCUAACUCUCUGUGAUCCUACUUAAUUUGUUUAAUUUGUAGCCAUACUUAAUUACCUUUUAGGAAUUAAGAUAAGAUACUAAGAAAUAAAUGAUACAUAAUAUUCCUCUUCCCUCUCUACCCCAUGUCUGUGUUAUCCUCUCCUAACAAGUAUAUACAGAAUACAGGAGAAACAUGAUUUUAAACUUUGGGAGUCCUUAUGCCAGAGGAUAACUUCAAAGCCUCUGAAGUACUGGAGUUCUCAAGACUCCCUUGAGUUAUAGUGAAGCUUUUUUGCUGGACUUGUGGAGCCUUGAAGCUGUCUUUUCCCCAUCAUAUCCAGUCUGUCCUUGGCCCUGAUAUAUAUACUGCCAGUACAGGGACACUGUCCCAAAUGCUGAUGUGAAGAAGAGAAUCCUCUAGCUUGGGGCAGCUAGAUGGAGCAGUGGAUAAAAUAUAAGAACCUUGAAAACAGCAGCUUCAGUUUUUAUCUUUGAAUCUCAGCACCCAGGACGCUGUUUGACACAUCCUGGGUGCUUGAUGUUUAUUGAAUUGAAUUUCAGUAACACAUGACUCUUUGAUGGUAUCAUUCAUGACAAGACUGGCCACUUUGCUUUCUCUCACACAUAUGACACUCGGUGCCUUUUUACCAGCUGGCCCUGGGCUUAGAAUUCACUCUCUUUUCAUCUCUGCUUGGUAGACGAGUCCUUUGUUUCCCAGAGAGUUUAGCUAAGACUCCAGUUUCUGCAUGAAGCUUUGCUGCUUUCUCCUGACUCCAGCUCUUAAUGCUUAUCCCUCAAAAUUACUUGGUCUUUAUUCAUUAUAUACCUAUGUAACAGACAUAGACUAUAUCUCCUAUUGAUUUUUUUUAAUUUAAAAAGUAUUAGUGAUGCUGUUUGUCUUGACAACAAAGUCAUUUUGAAUCCUUACUUCCUCCAAUUUGAAUCUUUUCUUGUGACAACUAAACAAAAAUAUUGAAGACUGUAUUUGACAAUAUAGAAAAUAUUUAGUCCAAGUAGCCUCCCAUCUUUCUCCCAUGAGACAAAUGUUUCAUGAUCUCUUUUUUGAUACCUUCAUUGGACUUUCCCUUAUUUGGAGGAAAGGUAUAAAAUCUGAGAGGCAGAGGUGAGGAGGGAGCACAUUGAUUUUUUAAAUGUAUUUUCAGUACAGCUAAGAAUGCUUCCAUCAUUGACUUUUCUACAAAUUCAUCAUGCUCUAAAACUGAGUUUUCAAAAUGUUAUUCUAGAAAUAUGUGAACUUUCUCCCAUUGAGCUCGAGUUUGAAAUGACAGAAUACUUCAUUUGACAUUCCUACGUGUGGAAGCAUUUUUUACAUUCCUAAGAAAAUGUUCCCAGCUUAAAAUAAGGCUGUUGUCCCUUCAUCCUAAGUAAACAUUAUUGCAAAACACUGGUAUCUUUCCUUUUUCCAAGUCUCUGGUUCCAGCCAACUGGGAACAAUAUCUUCUCUGUAGUAAUUUUCUCUAACUUGUAUAUAUAAUGGCCUUGUUUGAUGACACACAUUUACUUUUUAAAGAUCCUAGAAAACAGUGCUCACAAAUAUUUAAAAAAACAGUUGGUGUCAGCUGGGAUUUUAGAGUUUGAAAGGUGAUACCUUUCUGGAGGUAUUGGGGUUGGAGGGUUAGCCCUUCUAGAAGGCAAUAAAAUAUAUUGCCUUUGUUAUUGAUGCCUACCUAAUAGAAGGAUUAAUUUUCUGGUAAUGAUUAUUUUGAAUGGUUUGAUUCAGGGGUUAUAUAUCAGCUAGCAGUUUAAAAUAAUAUUCUAUUUAUCUGUGGGACAAUUUUUGUGAAUUUAAAUAUAUGGUAUCACGUUUAAAUACUCAUUAAAUUGAAUUUUAACUCUUAGCAUUAAGUCAGUCUCUAUUAGAGUUAGUUGAAAUGAUAUCUGAAGUCUUCCCAAUGACUUCAUUUUGAAAGCUUUUUUGAAAAGACAUAUAAUGCUUAUCACUGAAUUAUAUGAUUUUAUCCUAUUAAUUAAUAUAAUAUACUAGCAUAUAAUUUGAGGUGACUAGCUGGUGUAGUGAGUACAACACUAGGUCUGGAGUCAGGAAGACUCUUCCUGAAUUAGAAUCUGGCCUCAGACAUUUGCUAGCUCUGACUCAGAGUGAAUCACUUAACCCUAUGUUGUCCCAAUUUCCUCAUCUAUAAUAUAAGAUGAGCUGGAGAAAGAAAUGGCAAUCCAUUUUAGUAUCGUUGCUAAGAAAACCCCAAAAUGGGAUCACAAAGAACUGGACUUGACUGAAAGAAAUGAAAUAACAAUCCAAAUAAUUUCCAUUACCAUUUGAGAUGAUUUGUUCUCAGAGUGAAAUAAAAAACACAAAGCUAUGUUAAAAAUCACACUGGCAUUCUUUUUUAAGUGCC
rnacentral:lncRNA from 1 species